CGCGUAGGAAUCUACCUAGUAGUGGGGGAUAACAUGGUGAAAACCAUGCUAAUACCGCAUACGCCCUAUGGGGGAAAGCGGGGGAUCUUCGGACCUCGUGCUAUUAGAUGAGCCUGCGUAAGAUUAGCUAGUUGGUGGGGUAAAGGCCUACCAAGGCGACGAUCUUUAGCUGGUCUGAGAGGAUGAUCAGCCACACUGGGACUGAGACACGGCCCAGACUCCUACGGGAGGCAGCAGUGGGGAAUAUUGCGCAAUGGGCGAAAGCCUGACGCAGCCAUGCCGCGUGUGUGAAGAAGGCCU
rnacentral:rRNA from 1 species